UAAUCAAUAGGCGAUGGAGUUCGCCUUUGAGCGCCACUUUCCACGCGUGGCUAAUGACUCCUGUUUCAUG
rnacentral:ncRNA from 1 species